rnacentral:rRNA from 1 species
GAGAGGUGCUGUAUGGCUGUCGUCAGCUUGUGUUGUGAAAUGUUGGGUUAAGUCUCGCAACGAGCGCAACCCCUAUCGUCUGUUGCCAGCAUUAAGUUGGGCACUCUGACGAGACUGCCUGGGUUAACCAGGAGGAAGGUGGGGAUGACGUCAAGUCCUCAUGGCCCUUAUGUCUAGGGCUACACACGUAAUACAAUGGUGCGUACAAAGGGAAGCGAACUCGCAAGGGGGAGCAAAUCUCAAAAAGCGCGCCUCAGUUCGGAUUGAAGUCUGCAACUCGACUUCAUGAAGUUGGAAUCGCUAGUA